GAUCCUGACCGACGCGCCUCUCUCUCUUUCUGUGUCCGGAAAUUCAUCCACGCUCGAUUCUCAAACUAACUCUCAGUUAGACUUUGUCUCCUAAGCCGUUUACAUCGUGGGGGUGCGAAGUGGAGACCAAUCAUUCGAGAUAUCAUUUUUCAUUUUUUACCACCUCCCAUCCCACCGGAUGUCAAUGUCCGUAAAACCUCACGCGUGUCAAUGACAAUCGAAAAAAAAGUGUAAAUCAAAGUGCCAGCAACUGUGUUUACAAUCGGCUAAUUAUGUGAGAAAAAUUCACGCACAUUUUUCUUCAAAACUGCACAAAUGAAUUCUAAAAUGAUGGAUCUAUAUAUACAUUUAAUAGACUUGUUUUAAAAGUUUCAACAACGAAUGAAGAACGGCUUGUAAAAUUUUUGGAGCUUAACUAAUUGCAAUUUACGCACACACACACACACACACUGAAUAUUACAAAUUCAUAACAUUUUUUCAAAUUAAAAGCACAAUAUUGAAGCAUAUUUCUCAUAUCUAUACAUUUAAAAAAAAAAAAUUUAUAUCACAUAUAUAUAUAAGUCUCAAAAUAUGGAAAAUAAUUAGCUGCCAGAAGAAUUUAAAUUUGCUAUAAUAUUUUUUCACAUUAAAUUUUUGAAAAAGAGUGAAAUUUUCUCCCUUUUUUCUACUCUUUUUAUAAAAAAAAUAUAUAUAUAUCCUCAAAAAGGGACCAAUUUUCAAUUCGAAAGUAUUAAAUAAUAUAAGCAACAACAACAACAGGAUAUAUAGUCAUUUAAAAGGUGAAAAAAAAAAACUGUUUCAAAGGGAGAAAAAUGAAAUAAAAACGAAUUUAUUGAAAUAAUGAAUUGAAUUUAAAAAAGAAAAGGAAACCAAGAGAAAAUUUGUGACACGAAGAAACCUGUAUUAAGGUUUGUGAAUGUAAGACGUCCUUUAGAAAAUGUGAUUUUUCAAGAAAGAAAGAAAGAAAAAAAAAAUAGAAUUCAAGUGAAGAAAGUGAUUAUAAUCGAGUGCCAAAUUAUAUAUCUAUCUAUAUAUAUAUAUAUUAUAUAAAAAUAUAUACAUAUUAGCUUUGCGGAUACAAUUUAAUUGUAAUAUUUUAAAAAGCAAUAUUGCAAAAACCGUGAGAUAUAUAUAUAUCUGAUUGAAAGGAAAUAUUUGAAGGAAGUUAUUUUCAAUUCGCAACAUGCCUGCUCCAACAUCAACAAGAACUACCAGUAGUGAAGCUAUUCGAAUGGAGCCUCUUGGGAGAACAUCUAGCUCCCGAAGCCCUGGACAAAACGGAACUGCCAAUACUGAAGUGCCCGCAAAUUCCGGAGACAGUAACACAGGGUUACACAAACGCAGCAUAUAUGAACACAAUGGAGUCGCCGUUUGUUCACAAAAGAAAGCACUUUGUAUUGCCACCGUUGUUUUCGGCAUCCUCUUUGCCAUAUCACUCAUCAUUGCAUUCGCGGGACCACAGAAUGACUGCCCUUGUGCUGGAGAAAAGCCAGCGAAUCUGGAAAUCAACGAGGACGAGGAAGGCGGUGAGCUGCUUGCAACGAACGGAGAGGUAUUUCCAUGGAAUAACGUAAGAUUACCUUCAUUUGCACAUCCAACUAGAUACAUCAUCACUAUCCAUCCAAACCUUACGACGCUGGAAGUCAAGGGGCAAGUCACAAUUGAGUUUUUCGUGGAUAAAGAGACCAAUUUUAUCGUCUUCCAUAGUAAAAAUUUGACAAUAAAUGAAAAGAUGGUCCAAGAUCGCAAAGGCCACAGAUUAAAAAUUGCAAAAUUGCUGGAAUAUCCGAAACAUCAGCAGGUUUAUUUGGAAUUAGAAGAAAGCAAAUUUCGAAAGAAGGCAAAUUAUACAGUUCAUCUUAGAUUUGUUUCAAAAUUGAAAAAUGAACUCGAAGGAUUUUAUUUGAGCAGCUACGUUACUAGCGAUGGGGAAAAAAGGUAUUUAGCAACAACACAUUUUGAGCCAACUUAUGCGCGUUCUGCGUUUCCUUGUUUUGAUGAGCCACAGUUCAAGGCAAAGUUCAAAGUCUCCAUAUUCAGAGACAGGUUUCACAUAGCUUUGUGUAACAUGCCUGUUAUGAAUACCGAGGAUGCUGGAUUUUACAUGGGAACGGGCCUUCUUCGUGAUGAUUUUCAAGAAUCUGUGGAAAUGUCAACUUAUCUUGUGGCUUUUGUCGUUUGCGAUUUCAACAGAAUUUCCGAAUUGACCAAUAGAAAUGUUUCCGUUAGUGUUUAUGCCGCUGAAGCUAUGCUUCCACAGGCAAAAUAUGCUCUCAAUAUUGCAGCACGCACUAUGGAUUAUUUCGAAUCAUUUUUCGGUGUUCACUAUCCACUGCCAAAGCAAGACUUGAUAGCCAUACCAGACUUUGCAGCGGGUGCAAUGGAAAAUUGGGGUCUCAUAACAUAUCGAGAGACAUCAAUUCUUUAUGAUCCCGAUGAAACAUCAACAGUGGCACACGAAUGGGUGGCUGUAAUUGUUGCACACGAACUUGCACAUCAGUGGUUUGGCAAUUUGGUUACAAUGAAAUGGUGGAAUGAUCUUUGGUUAAAUGAAGGCGCUGCCAGUUAUUUGGAAUAUAAAGGUGUCAAUCAUCUUGCACCCGAAUGGAGUAUGAUGGAUCAAUUUAUUUUAGAUAAAAUACAACCAGCAUUGGAUUUAGAUGGUCUUGCCAGUAGUCAUUCGAUAAGUGUCACCGUUAAGGAUCCCACUGAAAUCGAGGCAAUUUUCGAUACAAUCAGUUAUAAUAAAGGCGCUUCGAUACUUUAUAUGUUGGAAAACUUUUUAAAUGAGGAUGUUUUGAAAAGUGGACUCAAUGAAUAUUUAAAUAAUUACGCGUACGGCAAUGCGGACACUGGUGACUUUUGGAGUGUCUUCACUAAACAUUCGAAUAAUACUUUUGACGUGAAGACAAUAAUGGAAACAUGGACACAGCAAACUGGAUUUCCUCUUAUCACUAUUUCGAGGGAGGGUAAUAUUAUCACAGCGAGUCAAAAACGUUUUCUUGUAUCUCCCCGUGAUAAUGACACUGCACUUCUUGAACCAAAAUCACCGUUUAAUUAUAAAUGGUACGUUCCUCUAAGUUACUACACGGAUAAGGAUCCAACGAAUAUCACCAGCAUUUGGAUGAAUAUGACAAAUGUGACCUUUGAGAUUGCAUCAGAAGUGGAAUAUAUAAAAUGCAAUGUGAAUCAGACGGGAUUUUAUCGUGUGACCUAUCCCGACGAGAUGUGGACAUCGAUAAUAAAAACUCUAUUAAGCGAUCAUGUGAGAUUUAGUCCAGCAGAUCGUGCCAAUUUAUUGGAUGAUGUAUUUACAUUGUGCGAAGCUGGUGAAUUAAAUGCAUCGGUACCAUUGGAAUUAUCAUUGUACUUGUUAAAUGAACGUGAUUAUGUGCCUUGGGCGACAGCAUUGGGAUAUUUACAUUCGUGGAGGCAAAAAUUAAGUGAAAGUUCCGGAUACAAAAAGUACAUUGCUUUCUUGAAAAAAUUACUUGGACCUGUAACCAAAUAUGUUGGCUGGAGUGAUGAGGGAUCACAUUUGAUGAAAUUGCUACGAAUUGCCAUUCUACAGUUUGCAGUGGAACUUCAAUUAGAUGAAGUUAUUCAACCGGCAACAAAUUUAUUUGAAAAUUGGAUGUUUAGAGGGACACGAAUAAGUCCAAAUAUUCGUGAUGUUGUGUACGCUGCAGGCAUAAAAUUUGGUGGACAAUCCGAGUGGAACUAUUGUUGGGAUACUUAUCAGAAAACACAAAUUCCUAGUGAAAAAAGAGUAAUGCUUCGAGCUUUGGGAUCGUCGAAUGAUCCUUGGUUACUUCAAAGAUAUCUUUUAAAGAGUACUGAUCGAGAAAAAGUGAGAGUGCAAGAUGUAGAAACAGUGGUUGCUUCAGUUGCAAAAAAUGCUGAAGGAAAAUUUCUCGCAUGGAGACAUUUGAAGGCAUUUUGGCCACAAGUUCAUUCAACAUUUGGCAAUGGCUCCUUAUCGAUAGGAGGAUUAAUUCAUAUUGUCACUUCUGAAUUUUUCACUCAAUACGAUUACAAGGAGGUCUCAGAAUUUUUUAAAAAUAGAGACGUGGGAAGCGGUCAACGAAUGUUGGAACAAAGUUUGGAAAAAAUAAGAUUUAAUAUUCAUUGGGUGAAAAAUAAUGCAGAAGUGAUUGACGAGUGGCUAACGAAUUAUUUAAAAUCAAAGAAAAGUUAAAAUUGGGAUUUCGAAAAAAAAGAAGAAGAAGAAGAAAAAGAAGAAAUAAAGACGAGAAGUGAAUUCUGACGAAUUCCAAUAAAAAACUACUUCAGAAUUGAAUAAUUCAGUUCGAAGUCUGCAGCAUCGUUUCUUCGACGUCACAGAAGGAUAUUCAGCUCUCAGGAAGAAAGAAAAAUGACAGUUCCAGAAAAAAGAUAAUUCACAUGUUAAGACUGGACACCAGAGAGUAAAUUUAAAUUGUAAGAUUAGUAUUAUAUUAUUACGUAUUAUAUUUUGUGCAAUUGCGAUAAAAAAAAAAAAAAAAAAAAUACGAUAACAUUUCGUAUAUUUUGGGGGAGAAAAAAAACGUCGAAGCUAUGUCUUAUAUCUUGCAUAUUAUAUUAUAUAUAUUAUAACUUUUACAGUUAGAAAAUAUGUAUAACAAUAUUAUAAAUAUAUUGUAUACUUAUCUCUUCUGUACCAGUUGUCAUAGAUAUUUUGUUGUAUGAACAAAAGAAUGCGGAAUAUGUACAAGUAUAUAUAUAUAUAUAUAUAUAUAUAU